UACGUAGGGUGCGAGCGUUAAUCGGAAUUAUUGGGCGUAAAGCGUGCGUAGGCGGUUUUGUAAGUCUGUUGUGAAAUCCCCGGGCUUAACCCGGGAAUGGCAUUUGGGACUGCAAGGCUUGAGUGCGGCAGAGGAGACUGGAAUUCCUGGUGUAGCAGUGAAAUGCGUAGAUAUCAGGAGGAACACCGAUGGCGAAGGCAGGUCUCUGGGCUGACACUGACGCUCAUGCACGAAAGCGUGGGGAGCAAACAGG
rnacentral:rRNA from 1 species